rnacentral:rRNA from 1 species
AGUGAACGCUGGCGGUAGGCCUAACACAUGCAAGUCGAACGGCAGCACAGUAAGAGCUUGCUCUUACGGGUGGCGAGUGGCGGACGGGUGAGGAAUACAUCGGAAUCUACUUUUUCGUGGGGGAUAACGUAGGGAAACUUACGCUAAUACCGCAUACGACCUACGGGUGAAAGCAGGGGAUCUUCGGACCUUGCGCGAUUGAAUGAGCCGAUGUCGGAUUAGCUAGUUGGCAGGGUAAAGGCCCGCCAAGGCGACGAUCCGUAGCUGGUCUGAGAGGAUGAUCAGCCACACUGGAACUGAGACACGGUCCAGACUCCUACGGGAGGCAGCAGUGGGGAAUAUUGGACAAUGGGCGCAAGCCUGAUCCAGCCAUACCGCGUGGGUGAAGAAGGCCUUCGGGUUGUAAAGCCCUUUUGUUGGGAAAGAAAAGCAGCAGGUUAAUACCCCGCUGUUCUGACGGUACCCAAAGAAUAAGCACCGGCUAACUUCGUG